CACAUGCCCUAAAGUACAAACACACACGCCGCCUAUGUAUAUGUAUGUGUGUGUAUGUUUGUAUGUAUGUAUGUAUAUAUAUAUAUAUAUAUAUAUAUAUAUACGCAGCGUGUGUGUUUGUGCUGCGCACACC